GCUGAGACCGGUAACGGGAUCGACAAUGAUCUUGGCUGAGGUACAUGAGGGAUAUAUGGAACGGAAAGUCAUAAAAAGAUCCGAAUCCUCGGUAGUGGGAAGAAGGUCGCCAACGAAGAUACUAAACUCAGGAUCACGGGAAACAAAGUUGUUAUGUUGAAUGCCGCCACCAGUAGCCCAGUUAAGCUUGAAGGUACAGUGAGCACCAGGAAUCAUGGUGUUAUUAUACUUCAUCAAAGCACGCUCAGCAGCUGCAGAAGAGGAAAACUGAACGAAGCAAUAGCUGAUAAGCGUUUCCGAAGAGGAUGCUUUGGAGCGCAUGACUUUAACGUUGACAGGUUCGUUGAGGGAAGCCCAGAGCUGUUGAAUAAAAGUAGCGUCCAUCCAAGGUUCCAGGUCACCCAUCCAUAAGGUGUCGCUCAUUUUCGAGCCAACACCUGCUACAUCUUGAAGUGGAGUGGAGCUAGGAGAACAGUUGAAAGGAGCCACAAGUCUCUCCAAAGUAGGAGAAACUAACUCUGAUUUGCCCUCAUCAACCACAGGGGAAAUGGGGGCAUUGACAUCUGAAUUAGAAGCUGACAUUUUCGAGGUUGCUGGAAUAGACGAAUGCAAAGGGACGAAGGAAGUAUCAAACAAUGAAGAACGGCGAUAAAGGCAGUCAAUAGACAUUUAAAUAGAUAUCCAAAAAAAAGUAAAAGAAAGUAAGUAAUAUGAAUGAACAACA